rnacentral:rRNA from 1 species
AUUGAACGCUGGCGGCAUGCCUUACACAUGCAAGUCGAACGGUAACAGGUUAAGCUGACGAGUGGCAAACGGGUGAGUAAUGUAUCGGAACGUGCCCAGUCGUGGGGGAUAACUGCUCGAAAGAGCAGCUAAUACCGCAUACGACCUGAGGGUGAAAGCGGGGGAUCGCAAGACCUCGCGCGAUUGGAGCGGCCGAUAUCAGAUUAGGUAGUUGGUGAGGUAAAGGCUCACCAAGCCGACGAUCUGUAGCUGGUCUGAGAGGACGACCAGCCACACUGGGACUGAGACACGGCCCAGACUCCUACGGGAGGCAGCAGUGGGGAAUUUUGGACAAUGGGCGCAAGCCUGAUCCAGCCAUGCCGCGUGCGGGAAGAAGGCCUUCGGGUUGUAAACCGCUUUUGUCAGGGAAGAAAAGGUUCUGGCUAAUACCUGGGACUCAUGACGGUACCUGAAGAAUAAGCACCGGCUAACUACGUG